AAUUUUUUUGGAGAGAGAGAGAUAAACACAAAGGCGAUUUAGAGUUGUUGUUCUUCCACAGAGAUUCGUUAUUCGGAUCUGAAGAAACUAUAAUUAUUAUCGAACAAUUAUUAACUCAUCAAAAGUAGGGCGAUAUGGAUGUGGAUGAUGAUGACAAUUAUUAUUAAACAACAACACCAAUUUUAUCUUCUUGGGGUCCUGAUGAUACUCGGGAUAAAAAAGAAAUCCAUACCCCUGUUGCAAAACUAUUGCAUGUUUGAAUGGUGAUAUUCAAGGACCGGGGGCUUGCUGCUGGAUGGGUUAGUUGAAGAUCAUGAGGAUCGAUCAUAUCUAAGAGACGCAUUGAAGCUGAAGAAUCUUUUUUUUUUUUGUGG